rnacentral:rRNA from 1 species
UACGGAGGGUGCAAGCGUUGUCCGGAAUCACUGGGCGUAAAGGGCGCGUAGGCGGCUCAUGAAGGCUGUGGUGAAAGUCCGGGGCUCAACCUCGGAUCGGCCGUGGCGACUCGUGGGCUGGAGCACUGUAGAGGCGGGUGGAAUUCCGGGUGUAGCGGUGGAAUGCGUAGAGAUCCGGAAGAACACCAGUGGCGAAGGCGGCCCGCUGGGCAGUGGCUGACGCUGAAGCGCGGACAGCGGUGG